CAGACCCUUGCCUGAGCCCAGAGUUCACCGGUGCUUGCUUUACUUCCCCCUCCCCCUUCCCCAGGGGCCUCAUAUAUUUACAGGUGACCCCAGCCCAUCUUCACAACCUCCAGCUGGAGAGAUUUGCAGGCACUGAUCAAAAUCCCGCUCAGGCACUCUGGACAGGGAUGACCACCAGGUUGGGGAUGGAAGCCAUGGGGGUCGACCGUAGCCCUCACCCCAGAAGCUGGGGCCCCGGAAGUCUGGUCCCCGAGCAGCAGCCCCUGGGUCAUCAGGAGUGUGCUGAGAUGCCCCACCCCAGCCCACUGAGUCAGGAAGCAAGCAGGAGGAGCCCAGAAGUGUCCUGGCGGCCCAGGAGCGUCUGACAAGCCCUCUAGGUGAAUUUGAUAGAGGUGAUGUCAGUGGUCUCACGAAACCACGGGCUGGAGAGGACGAAAGGCAGGAGAGGAGACUCGGGGAGUGGGAGAGCCCAUGAAGGCACGGCGGCGUUGCCUUUUGAAGGAGAGGUUGCCAAGAAGGGAAAGGAAGAAAUGAAGGAACAAGCACAGUGAGCUAAAUCCUCCCAAAGAACCACUGAGAGCCAUCACCGACAGAAGCACCUUACCAUUUCCUGCCCAGGCCGAAGCCCGGGUUGCCCUUCCCCCACUUUGCCUGCCACCGCUUGGAGGUAGGAAGCUCCCCAACACCUGGCUUUCCUAGUCCUGGGAAUCCAAGCUAUGAUAAACAGGGAUCUCUUCCCACAUUAUACCUUCCCUCAAUCAGAAGGUGCUAGCACGGAAUUUCAGUGUAUCUGAUAGAGCUUACAGAGUACUACAGAAUUUCAUAACUAGAGUUGCCUUGGCAAGAAAACAAGUAUAAUAUGUUCAUGGUAACCACAGGGCACCUGAGGCUCCAAGGAGGGGAAGUAGCUUGCUCAAGGUCAUAGUAAAUUAAGGAGCGCUCUUAGGGCUCUUCUCAAAGAACAGGGCAAACUCUUUAAGACGGUUGGAGACAUUUCCCAUAUAAUAUUUCCACUUUUACAGAGGAGAACGUUGAAGCACAGAAAGGUUAAAUGACUCACCCACGAUUGCACAGGAAGUGUUUGGCAGAGGUGGCCUUGGAUCCAAGUAGUCUUUUUUUGUUGUUUUUUUUUUUUUAAGAAUUUUUAUUUAUUUAUUUGACAGAGAGAUCACAAGUAGGCAGAGAGACAGGCAGAGAGGGGGAAGCAGGAUCUCUGCUGAGCCGAGAGCCCAAUGCGGGGCUUGAUCCCAGGACCCUGAGAUCAUGACCUGAGCUGAAAGGCAGAGGUUUAACCCACUGAGUCACCCAGGCGCCCCUGGAUCCAAGUCUUCUAACUGAAGUUCUAGUGUUCUUAGAAUCUCACCAUGCACUCUCCAAUCUACCUAACAACAAGAAGCAAAUAUUCCAGAAUAUUCUAAGGAGAUGCAGAGGGAGAAAUGAAACUACCACCCUCCGUGAUCACUUCAUUUUUUUUUUCUUGUUAUUGAAGGCACUCAAUAGACAGUCAAUGCAAUAGAAGGAAAAUUCUCUUUCUGCAAAAAUGGGAUAUUAAGUCUUUGAAGAGACCUUCCACACAGUCAAACUAUUUGAAAGAAAAUCCCCUCGGAUGACUGGGAGCUCCUACAGAAUGGAGCCUUCAGAAACCAGAGAAAUCCGUGUCUUGCAGUAGAUUCUGCAGUCAAUGUAUAGUCUUUCUGCUUGUCACCAAAUUUCUCUUCCUGGUAAUAUUUUUGGCGUUUUAAUUUUAGACAUGGGUGAGGGAGUGGGAGAGAACUUUGUUUUAAAACCUAAGUCUGACAUACAUAAGCACCAGAAUCCUAUUUGAUCUUAACAUAUUUGUUCCUCUGAGUAGAAGAGAUGGCUUUGAAAAGAGAAGGAUGGGCAAUCAUCCAGUCCUGACGACCACCUUCCUCAGAGGGGACAGCCUUCUGUUUCUGUCAGCAGAGGGUACAAGCAGGGGGUGCCCAGAAGAGGGACAGCUUGGGGAAUCUGACAGACCUAAGUUUGUGCCAGCUCUGCUCCUAACAGACUGUGGGAUCAUGGCCAAGUUCAUCAACUUCUUUGAGAUUACAGAGACCUCAAGGCUCAAGUUAAGAAACCUGCCAAAUUUUUAUCGCUUAAUAGUUUGACACCCACGUUUGUCUGACUCCAAAGCCCAGAAGGCAGGGUGCAUGGUUUCUUUUCCGUAGGAUUAUCAAUUUUACUAAGCCCCAGAGGAACACAUUCAGGGAUUGUGCCUGUAGGAAUCAUGACUAUGAAGUACCAGGAUCAAUUUCAAGCCAAUAUGUCAGAAUGGAGAUACAUAUGUGUGUGCACACAUGCGUGUAAAUAUAUCUGUAUACCCAUGCACAUAUACAUCAAGAGAUAUAACCCAUCUCCAAAUGUCCAUGAUAUGCUUCAACUGGCCACAUGGGGAAAGCUGAUAGACUUGUUACAACUCUAUUGCUAUUAUUGCUAGUUUACGAGCCACAGGAGAAUCUCAGGCUUGUGUUCUCCAAUCCCACCAGUUUUGACCUCAAAUUUUAUUAUCCAGCUUCAUCGCCCCCUUGAGCUUGUUUUGAAAAUCAAACCUUUCCCCUAUGGGCAAGAUAGGCCGAGACUGAAGACUUUGCAAACAUUCACGCUAUGUGCUUUGCAGGUGGUUUCACAGGAUUUCCAGGAAUGACUGAAAUUGAAAUACAUCAGUGAUACCCUCAAGAUGGUCCCGGAGGGCUCUGGUCCCAGGUCCUGACUCAGAGUGGCCUCUGGCUUUGGGAACACUGUAUUGCCUCUCUGUUUUGCUUCCUGCCUUGUAAAAUGGUGAGAUUGGACUA